rnacentral:misc_RNA from 1 species
GUUAAUCAUCUAAUCUUUGAACGCAAAUUGCACUCUCUGGUAUUCCAAAGAGUAUGCCUGUUUGAGGGUCAUUUUAAAUAAAAAUCUUUGUGUUUGCUUCCUUUUGUGGUUACGCACCUGUUUUGGGUCGUCUUUCCUCCGAUUAAGUGACCUAUAAUUUUUCAUGAUUUUUUCUAACGUAUUUAAAUUAUUUUACUUACGUUUUCGUGAUCUAAUACUAGUUUAGGUCAUCCUCAUGAUCCGCGCCUAUAAUUUCUCAUCAAAAUGACCUCAAAUCAGUUAAGAUU